UCAAAGCUCUUACUAUAUAGUUAUGUAUUUUUAUCUUGUUUUUAGAUGAGUGUUCAAUAGACAUUCACCUGAACUGCCUCAUGGAGGAAGUCUCUAGAUGAUGCUAAGGAAGAGUGAUGUUUCAGGGUCCAUUCAAGCCAGACUGCAGUAGGAUGCUGGAAAAAAGUUGAUUGUUUCAAGGACCUUUUUAGCAUCUAAACGUCUAGUACUUACCACAAGGGAUUGUAAUUAUUUUCUUACAUGUCAACAAACUCUUAACAGGAAGAGCUCCAAACUUAUUUUUCUUUGUAUUCCUACUCCCAGAAGCAAAAAUGAUUUACAGAAAGUGUUGAGUGAAUAUAAAAGACUUUUUCCUAUUGG
rnacentral:lncRNA from 1 species